UAUUUUAUUAUUCAUCAUUCUACUAAAUGAUAUACUGUGCAUUUCAAGGAAAGCUAACACUUAAUUUUUUUUAAAAAUAAUAAUAUGAGCAGCUGACAGUGAGAGACGAUUGUGUAAUUGAUGAGGAAAUGUUGUUGAUCUUAAGGUCCUCUUGAUUGGAGAAGAGGUUGGGGAAUACCAAGAAGCAUACAAGAUAUUCAAAGGUCUUUUGGACAAGUAUGGCCCUGACAGAGUUCUUGAUACUCCAAUCCCAGAGGUACGUUUUGUUACUUGCCA